GGGGAUGUAGCUCAGUGGUAGAGUGCUUGCUUGGGAUGCAUGAAGUUAUGGGUUCUUUCUAUUCCUA
rnacentral:tRNA from 1 species